UGUGGGUACCCUCUGCCAUGCCCUUCCAGCUCUGCUGGGAAGCUUUGUAGCAGAGCUGUGGGCCAAGCAGAGCCGUGGGCAGAAAACGGGGCAGCUCAGGCUGCACGAUUACUUUCUAGGAGCCUUAGAUACCCAUCUCAGUGCUGUUUGCCCUGGCAGCGUAACCAGGGCCCGUAGUCAUCAACACAAGGAAAAGCAGCAAGUCGGCUCUAAAUGCGCUGCUAGGUUACAGCAGCACACCUUAGGAGACUUGGCCAUUUCCCAUAAGCCAAAGUUGGACAUGCGCAAGAAAAGUAGAGAGCUGGCUCAGGCUCGGCGGCCAGGCUUCCACUGAGGGCCAGAAUCCAGGUGAAGAGGCAGAUGGACCAGGGGCUGGAAACAGCUGAGAGCUGCUGAGCAAAAGGACUCUUGGGUAUGUGAGGUCCUGGAGCACUGACGGCUUGGGAAGAUGGUGUGAAUCUCAAGCUGGUCUCACUGUGGGUAUGAAUCCAUGAUUAGUUUUCUGGAACACUCAAAAUUGGCACUGCCUUUGCUUUGGGCACUAUCAAUACAUAAUUAAUAACAAACUUGAACCUUGUAACCCC